rnacentral:rRNA from 1 species
AUGAGGUCGCUCUUCUCCAGGCAGGCGCGCCACCCCACCACGCCGCCUCCCCCCUUCUCCGGCGGCGAGACCCCGCCGCGCCGCCGCACGCCUAAGGAGAACGUCGACCCUUCCACCCCGGCGCACCAUCCCCCCUCCGGGGACCACGCCUCCCCCUACCGCUCCCCUUCCUCCGCCGCCAAGCCGCUCCUCACACGGAACCGGAGCCUCCCGCCGCGACCCCCGUCGUCGAACCCCCUCAAGCGGAAGCUCGACGUCUCCCCCGCGAGGGCCGCCGUGGGCCCGCCGCCGGAGGCCGCUGCCGCGUCCGACUCCGGGGUCCAGGUGGUCGUCAGGAUACGCCCCCCGUGCUCGGUGGAGGGGGAGGAGGCUGGGGAGGAUGGGCGGGGCCCCGACGCGUGCGUUCGCAAGAUGGCGACCAACUCUGUCGCGAUCCAGGGGCAGGACUUCACGUUCGACGCGGUCGCCGACGCAGCGUCUACGCAGGAAGAUCUAUUCAAGCUUGUUGGGCAACCGCUCGUCGAGAAUUGCUUGUCAGGGUUCAACAGCUCUAUAUUUGCCUAUGGCCAGACUGGGAGUGGAAAGACAUACACAAUGUGGGGACCUCUCUCUGCAAUUUCAGGAGACUUGAUGGGCUGCGAGAGGGGACUGACACCCCGUGUUUUUGAGCAGUUGUUCUCCCGGAUUAAAGAAGAACAAGGGAAACACAAUGACAAAGAACUAAUUUACAAUUGCACCUGCUCUUUUCUCGAGAUCUACAACGAACAGAUAACUGAUUUGCUAGAUCCCAUGCAAAAAAAUCUUCAGAUAAGAGAGGAUGUUAAAACUGCUUGUGUUUAUGUUGAAUCGUUGACAAAGGAGUUCGUUUUCACUAUGAAAGAUGUAACUCAGCUAUUGGUGAAGGGAUUGGCGAACCGGAGAACAGGGUCAACAAGUGCGAAUGCAGAUAGUUCACGCUCUCAUUGUGUUUUUACAUGUGUCAUCAAAUCUGAAUCAAAGAAUCUUGAAGAUGGCUCAAACAGCAUUAGAGUAAGCAGGAUAAAUUUAGUAGAUCUUGCUGGAUCUGAGCGGCAAAAGCUGACCCAUGCAGCUGGGGAUCGCCUAAAGGAAGCAGGAAAUAUAAAUCGGUCACUUUCAGCGCUUGGAAACUUGAUUAAUAUACUAGCAGAAAUUUCACAAUCUGGAAAACAAAGGCACGUUCCAUAUCGCGAUUCAAAGUUGACAUUUCUAUUACAAGAAUCCCUGGGUGGUAAUGCAAUGCUUGCAAUGAUUUGUGCUGUUUCGCCGUCAGAAAGAUGUAAGAAUGAAACCUUAAGCACUCUAAGGUUUGCUCAACGCGCUAAAGCUAUAAAAAACAAUGCAGUUGUUAAUGAACAAAAAGAGGACGAUGUCAAUGCACUGCAUGAGCAGAUCAGACACCUGAAGGAUGAACUCCACAGAAUGAAAUCUAAUGGAGGCUCUGAAGGAGGCAAUGGCAGCUUUUCUACUGGUUGGAAUGCUAGGCGCAGUUUGCAUCUGCUAAAAAUGAGCUUGAAUCGUCCUACGACAUUCCAGGCUAUCAAAGAAGACAGCGAUGAAGAGAUGGAGAUAGAUGAGAAUGAUGUUGAGAAGCCCAGUAAUCCUGAUAUGGUAAUAGCCCUUGCUGGAGAUAUUGGUUUCAAAAGGCUCCCAGCUUCAGAGGCGACAAAUGCUGGUUUUUCACAUGUUGAUGCGUUUGAUGGAGAUAAAAUUUUGAUGCCUACCAAAAGGUCUUCUUCUGAUGCUAAUAAACUUGGAGAAGACAGAUGUAACCUAAAUCUCGCUGCCAGUAUACAGAGAGGACUUCAAGUCAUUGAAAGUCACCAAAACAACGGUGCAUGGAGGAGAGCCUCAGUUGGGUUAAAUGCUAGAAUUAGGGAUGUUCUGCCUUGCAAGGUUGAUGUCUCGACCCAGACUGAUCCUGAAGAAUCUCAAGCAAGAGAUAACAUUCUGGCUCUAGUUCCUUCUUGUGUAGUUGAGAUUUCUUCAAAUGAGAGCAAGGAUCCUGAUGCUUGCAGAGAUCUGCAAUUGGUACCAGCUGAUGGAGCAGUACCAUCUGAUGGCCUAAAGCAGCAGCAGAUUCUCAAAGCUGUGGAGAAGGUCCUGGCUGGAUCAAUCAGGCGAGAAAUGGCACGUGAUGAACAGUGCGCGAAGCAAGCUGUAGAAAUUCAACAGCUAAAUCGUUUGGUGCAACAGUACAAGCAUGAGCGAGAAUGCAAUGCUGUAAUUGCACAAACAAUGGAAGGCAAGAUUGCUAGGCUUGAAAGCUUGAUGGAUGGAACUUUACCGACAGAUGAAUUUAUACAUGAGGAGUAUCUUUCUCUUAUGAAUGAGCACAAGAUCCUCCAAAAGAAAUAUGACAACCACCCUGAAGUCCUACGUGCUGAAAUUGAGGUGAAGGCACUCCAGCGGGAAUUGGACUUGUGCAGGAAUUACAUGGAUGAGAAAGAGGUUUUACAGGAAGAGAUACAUCAUCUGAAGAGUCAGUUGCAUUAUAUGCUUUCAUCUUCUGCAUCGCUUCGCAGGCUGUGGCCUCCACUGCAAUUGCAUCAGAGUGCUAAUCCUUCGCCUGGGACAAAAGAUGAUGAUGGUGAUGCUAACAUUGCGGAAGCUGCUGAUUAUGCUGGAGCUGAGAGUAAAUGGAUUGCUCUCAUGGACGAGCUCAGGGCUGACCUUGAAGCAAACAAAUCUCUUGUUGGAAGGUUGCGGUCGGAAUUGGAGUCAGAGAAAAAAUGCUCAGAGGAAUCGAAGGAAGCAUUGCAAACAGCGAUGCAGGGAUAUACUAGAAUCUUGGAACAAUAUGCUGACCUUGAAGAGAGGCAUAUUGGUUUGCAUGCAAUGCACAGAAAGAUCCUUGAUGGGGUUGAAGAUGUGAAGAUGAGGGCUGCAAAAGCUGGUGUCAAAGGAGUCGAACUACGGUUCCUCAACUCCCUUGGUGCUGAAAUAUCAUUUUUGAGAGCAGAAAAUAAAAGCCUUCACGACCAGCGGAAGGAUACAGCUGAGGCUGUUCAAGCUGCUGGUGAAUUGCUGGUACGACUGAAGGAGGCCGAGGAAGCGACAACAGUUGCCCAGAACCGAGCCUUGUUAGCAGAGCAGGAGACGGAGAAAGCCUAUCAGGAGAUUGACAACUUAAAGAAGAACUACGACCAUGAAAUCGUCGCGCUAAAUCAACGCCUGACAGAGUACUCCAAGCACAACGAUGUUACACCUCUGCCUGCCGCAUCCAGCAAUCUCGACUCUGCACCCAGGUAUGACUCGGUUGGUGGUAGCCCUGGUGAUGAUCAGCAAUGGAGGGGGGAGUUGGACGCCAUACACCAGCAGGGAUCACUGGAGGUCACCAAGAGCACCGACCUCAAUUCGUGGUUCUCCGGAUACGACAGAUGCAACAUCUGA